rnacentral:rRNA from 1 species
UAGGGAAUAUUGCGCAAUGGGGGAAACCCUGACGCAGCAACGCCGCGUGAGUGAGGAAGGUCUUCGGAUUGUAAAACUCUUUUAUUUGGGAAAAAUGUCUUAGUGGUUAAUACCCAUUAGGAGUGAUGGUACCAAAGGAAUAAGGACCGGCUAACUUCGUGCCAGCAGCCGCGGUAAUACGAAGGGUCCAAGCGUUGUUCGGAAUCAUUGGGCGUAAAGCGCGCGCAGGCGGAUUGAUAAGUCAGGUGUGAAAUCUCGGGGCUCAACCUCGAAACUGCGCCUGAAACUAUUAGUCUAGAAUGUCGGAGGGGGCAGGGGAAUUUCACGUGUAGGGGUAAAAUCCGUAGAGAUGUGAAGGAACACCGGGGGCGAAGGCGCCUGCCUGGACGACUAUUGACGCUGAGGCGCGAAAGCGUGGGGAGCAAACAGGAUUAGAUACCCUGGUAGUCCACGCCGUAAACGAUGAGCACUAGUUAUUGGGGGUAUUGACUCCCUCAGUGACGCAGCUAACGCAUUAA